UUUUUUUUUUUUUGUUGGCGGGGCUGGCGCCAACAAAUCCUGUGGAGAAGAGAGCGCUCGGCACGAGCUUUUUCCUGGGAAAAGAAGAGGAAAAACCAAAUAUAGAUAUAUAUUAUAAAUGUAGAAUUUCCAUCAAACAUAUAUUAAGGCAUGUAAAUAGCAAAAUAAAGGGCCAGCUUUAUGAGCUAAAGGGGCUGAGGGAGGCUCAGAUGGGAGUUUAGGGAUCCUACAAGUAUUGCUAAGUUGGGAUUGGGAUGCAGGGAGGGUCCUGGGGGUUUGGGAUGGGGCCAGGAGGGAUGGAUUGGGAUUUGGGGUUGGAGAUUUGGGAUUUGAGAUCCAGCUCCUGGCCCCUGCCAUGCUCACAUCCUUCCAGGGAUUCUGCUUCUUUCCCACUCUCUGGGAUGAUAAAGAAAAGGGGGAAUUUGCUACAGGAAAUCUGAACCGCUGGAAGGGGCUGGAGAGCUGCUGGAAGGGAUUUUUGGAGGGUGACAGCAGGUGACACCUCUGUCCCCAAACCCCUCCUCAGCACCGUCCCCACCCUCCAGAGGGGUCCCUGCUGACCCCACAGCUCCAUUAUCCCACCUGGCACCCCAAUUCCCUGCUCUGCCCCCAGAGCUCCUGCUCCGAGCUUGGAGCGCCCCGGGCACCUCCGUGUCCCCCAGUGCCACCUCCAUCUGUCCUGUCCCCUCUCCCUCCAGCUGAGCCACCGGGGGUGACACAGAUGGGCUCCAAAAUCAGGGUCAGAGCUGAGGGAGCAGAAACGGCGCCCGAGGAGCCCAGAGGGAGCAGCCAGGUCCGCUGGGAGGUGGCAGCACCAUCCGUGGUGGGGACAGGCGGGUCCCCACCCCAAGAGCCCCUUCACAGACCUUGGGGGCCAUCCCAGGAGUCCUGUGCUCACCAGGGGUCGAUGGCCACUGUCACAGCUGUCCAGGUGUAUCCUGGUGGCCGCUGUCACAGCUGCGUCCCUAUGGCCACUGUCACAGCUGUCCGGUUGUGUCCCUGUGGCCACUGUCACAGCUGUGUCCCAGUGGCUGCUGUCACAACUGUCUGGUUGUGCCCUGGUGGCCACUGUCACAGCUGUCUGGGUGUGUCCCUAUGUCCACUGACAGCCCUGGUGGCUCCUUGGGGACAAUGCCAGCCCCCUGCCCGUCUCCUUGGGACGUGCCUCCCGUCGGUGCCACCUCUCCCGCUGCUGUCGCCGCCGGAGGGAGGGAAGGGGGUCCGGGAGAACCGAGGACGGUGGCGAGAGCUUCGGUGUCACCUCAGGAGGGGCCUAAAACGUGGCCCCGUGGAACUUGGUGGCGCCAGCAGCUGCCAGGGCUUGAGCUGGGGGUGGGACAGGACAGAGGGGCUGAGCUGGGGGGGCUCCACCCCACGCCCACCCCCCAUGGGAAACACGGCCGGGAUUUGGCCCCAAGAAUCCAGGGGAGGUUGGGACCCCCCGCUUUUCAUGCUGGGCCCCCCCUUUUCCCCCUUUGGCUUUGCGGGGGGCACACGGUCCAUGGAGGAGGCGGGGCUGACGUGGCAGGAGGGGAUGGAGGGGAUGACGUCAGAGAGAAGAGGUGCUUACGUCACAGGCUCACACCCGCAUGAGGUGGCUGCUGUCGGCCCGGGGCGGCUCGGACGACAGCGGGUUGGUCGGUGGAGUCGGGGAGGCUGGGGAG
ensembl:lncRNA